ACACACACACACAUUUGUAUAAUGCACACAUCACAUAUGUUUUGGCCUCUUAUCAUCAUAUGAGCUCAGGGGACCUGAAUUGGCAUCACUGUCAAACACAUAAGCACACAAAUUUACACACACUUUAACUCGAAUAGAAACACACACAAAUUACAUCACAUACAUCUCAGGCUCCUUCCUCCCCCAUCAGCUCAGGAGACCUGACUCGGCACCCAGUAUCGCUGUCAAACACACACAGGCACGUACACUCUCGCACACAUACACACACAAACAUCUGCAGCAAUGCUCGGCAGCGAUUCAGCUACACAGCGCUGUCCAGAACUUUAAACUGCUUAUACAGGAGAUCCAGUGCAAUUCUGUUUAGGGUCCAGAGGCAGAAGUGAAAGGGGCCAUUCAUCAAGUCUUCUUUUAGCUAUUUGCUGAUGUCUGGCAACUGCAAAUGAGACAUACAAAAGGUAAGAAUGUAUCUAAAAGUGCUGCAAGACACUGAUUUGCUUCCAGACAAUCUGCAUGUCUCUAUAAAUGUUCAGCAGAGCCUGAGUAAGGGUUUUUAGUAGGUCGCCAAAAAGUGCUGAAUGGUCCACUGUGAAACUCAAACAAAAGGUGAGGAGAAGUUGAAUGUCACCCAAUUAUUGAUUGACGGAAGGCCGUGAGACAUUGGUGUCCUAAGUGUUCGCUAUAUCAGUUGAUUGAAUAUGUGCUAACCCAUCAUACUUUGAACAACGUGAAUUCAUGUCAUGCUUUAGUUUCAGGGACGACACCUCCACGGAUCGUUCAUGGACUGCCUGAUGCAUGUUGAACAACAGUGGCUGGCGUUUUGCAGUUACCGAAAGUUUGGGUGCACAGGUUUUUGACUGCUUUAUCUUGUCAUGUUUACAAAGGAAAGAUUCCCUGUUGGAGAGAGACGAUGCUGAGCUUGCAGUUGGUGAUGAAAUAUUAACUCGUGUCUCAACAAUAUGGGAUGGACAGAUGCAGGGCUCAAUCACAGCAGCCUACUCAUGUACUCAAGGCCAAAGGCAAUCAAAAGCAUGGUACCACAUGUUCUUGCAACUUCACUGUAACUUUAAACCUAUCACAAUCUCACAAUAGUAACCUUUUUAUCCUUUAAGUCAACAUGAAAUCUAAAUAUUUACUAAUAAUGUUCCUGGAUUUAUUGUGUAUGAUUGGUCAAAGGAAAAACAAAAAAGUCCCCUAAAACGAUGUUCCUUUUCUGCAACAUAUAUUCACUGUAAAUGCUCAAAAUAAUUUAAUUGAUUUGAGUAGGACAAACUUAAAUUAAACAAGUUAGUUCAGUCAAAUCAAAUUUUAUGAAUAUUUAGCACUUUCUUUUUUGUUCAAGUUCACAGAACUGAUA